AUGAUGCGCGCCUCGCCGGCACGGCCGAUCACAUGCGGUCACCUGACCGUCGCCGAACACCGCCGCUCGGUCGGGAGGUUGGACACACGGCGAGGUUUCUACCAACCGCGCGGAAAGGAUAAGAAGUCGUCGCGCCAACUGCACGGCGCCCACACGGCCCACCCUUCCCGGCCCCAUCCCCUCCACACGUCACCGAAUCCAACGGACGUACGCAACCCGACGGCCAUGGCGUCCUCCGCCGCCGCAGCCGUCCCCGAGUCUGACCGCGCCGCCCUCGUCAAGGCCUUCGACGAGUCCCGCACCGGCGUCCGCGGCCUCGUCGAGUCCGGCGUCUCCACCGUCCCCGACCUCUUCGUCCACCCCGACCCCUACGCCUCCGUCCCGCUCGCUCCCCCCGGCGUCUCCAUCCCCGUCGUCGACCUCUCCCUCCCCGCGCCCGUCGCCGCCGCUGCCGCCGCGGCGGCCGCCCGUGACUGGGGCUUCUUCCACCUCGUCAACUACGAGGCCCUCGUCCCCGCCGACUACCCCGCGAGGGCCCUCGCCGCGGUGCGCGCCUUCAACGAGCUCCCCGCCCCCGAGCGCUCCGCGCACUACGGCCGGGCCAUGGGCGGCGGGGUCUCCUACUCCUCCAACGUGGACCUGUACCGCUCCGCCGCCGCGAGCUGGCGCGACACCAUCCAGGUGGGGUUCGGGCCUACGCGGCCCGACACGGAGCGCAUCCCGCCGGUGUGCCGCUCGGAGAUCCUCGAGUGGGAAGCGCACACCACCGCGGUGGCCCGCGCAGUGAUGGCGCUGCUUUCCCAGGGGCUCGGGCUCAGCGAGGCGGCUCUGGAAGAGGCCUCGUGCCUGGAGGGGAAGGUCAUGGUCUGCCAUUACUACCCGGUGUGCCCGGAGCCUGAGCGCACCAUGGGAUUAGUCCCGCACACCGACCCCGGCGUGCUCACAGUCCUUGCACAGGAUGGCGUAGGUGGCCUGCAGGUGAAGCACACCAACGAGGACGGGGAGAGCUACUGGGUUGACGCGAAGCCUGUACCCGGCGCGCUUGUGAUCAAUGUUGGAGACCUCUUGCAGAUAAUGUCGAACGAUAAAUACACGAGCGUCGACCACAGGGUGGUGAUGAAUUCGCGUGAAGAAGCCAGAGUUUCGAUCGCCGUCUUCUUCAAUCCUGGGAAGCGAGGGGAUUCUGUUUUUUAUGGACCGCUGCCAGAGCUCGUUUCUUCAGAAAACCCAGCAAAGUACAGGAGUUUCACGAUGUCUGAGUUUUUCGGGGCCUUCUUCAAACGAGACCUUGCUAGCAAAGCUCUACUUGACAACUUCAAAUUGUAA
rnacentral:rRNA from 1 species